AGCUUUGCACAGUGGCAGUAUCGUAGCCAAUGAGGUUUAUCCGAGGCGCGAUUAUUGCUAAUUAAAAACUUUUCCUAAUAAAGUUUAUACAUAAUAUUAUUAGUUGUAUAUAUGAUUAUUAUAUAUUACAUAAUA
rnacentral:snRNA from 1 species